rnacentral:tRNA from 1 species
GGAGAGAUGGCUGAGUGGCUGAAAGCACCGCCUUGCUAAGGCGACGAACGUUUUUUCGUUCCGAGGGUUCAAAUCCCUCUCUCUCCG